AGAGCGCAAGGGGAAUGCCUUGGCAUCAGGAGCCGACGAAGGACGUGACAAGCUGCGAUAAGCUGCGGUGAGCUGCACAUAAGCUUUGACCCGCAGAUUUCCGAAUGGGGAAACCCGGCAGAGCAAUACUCUGUCAGCGUGCGUUGAAUCAAAUAGGCGUACGCGGGGAACCGCCUGAACUGAAACAUCUAAGUAGGGCGAGGAAGAGAAAUCAACCGAGAUUCCGCUAGUAGUGGCGAGCGAACGCGGAAGAGGGCAAACCGGAGGAUUUAUCCUCCGGGGUUGUGGACAGUUUUUUAGCAACUGGAACUAGGAGAACGGUAUGGGAAGGCCGGCCAUAGCGGGUGAUAGCCCCGUAUCCGAAAGGGAAGGUUGUGCGACUGGAUCCAGAGUACCGCCGGACACGUGAAACCCGGUGGGAAGCUGGGGGGACCACCCUCCAACCCUAAAUACUACCUGAUGACCGAUAGAGGAGCAGUACCGUGAGGGAAAGGUGAAAAGGACCCCGGGAGGGGAGUGAAAGAGAACCUGAAACCUUGUGCUUACAAGCACUCAAAGCCCGUUAAAGGGUGAUGAGGUACCUUUUGUAGAAUGGUCCGGCGAGUUAUUGUUACUGGCAAGCUUAAGGCAUUCAGUGCCGGAGGCGCAGGGAGACCGAGUCUGAAUAGGGCGUAUGAAGUCAGUGGCAAUAGACCCGAAACCGGGUGACCUAUCCAUGGGCAGGUUGAAGUGGGGGUAAAACCCCAUGGAGGACCGAACGCACGCCCGUUGCAAUGGUCGGCGAUGACCUGUGGAUAGCGGUGAAAUUCCAAUCGAACUCGGAGAUAGCUGGUUCUCCCCGAAAUAGCUUUAGGGCUAGCGUUGGCUUAGAUUACCGGAGGUAAAGCACUGAAUGGGCUAGGGGCCGAUAAGGUUACUGAACCCUAUCAAACUCUGAAUGCCGGAUAAUUGAUGGCCAGCAGUCAGUCUACGUGAGAUAAGUCUCGUGGACAAAAGGGAAACAGCCCAGACCCACAGCUAAGGUCCCAAAGAUACGCUAAGUGGAAAACGAUGUGGAGUUGCGAAAACAACCAGGAUGUUGGCUUAGAAGCAGCCACUCAUUAAAAGAGUGCGUAAUAGCUCACUGGUCGAGUGACUCUGCGCGGAAAAUAUAACGGGGCUAAGCGUAACACCGAAGCUUGGGCUGCACAGCAAUGUGCGGGGUAGGGGAGCGUCGAAUAUGGGGUGAAGUCGCAGCGGAAGCAGCGGUGGACUGUAUUCGAGUGAGAAUGCCGGAAUGAGUAGCGAGAAUUAUGUGGGAAUCAUAAUGGCCGAAAAUCUAAGGUUUCCUGGGGAAGGUUCGUCCGCCCAGGGUAAGCCGGGAGCUAAGGCGAGGCCGGAAGGCGUAGUCGAUGCACAUACGGUUGAAAUUCCGUAGCCACCGAACCUUAAGUACACUGACACAUGGAGAUAGCGGGACCCGGGCGUUGGUUGACCCGGGCGUAAGGGACCGAACUUUAGUAGGGAAGUCCGCGAUGCUCUGUGGCGAGAAAAGGUGUAUGGUAUGCUAAGGUGCCCGUACCGCAAACCGACACAGGUAGAUGAGGAGAGAAUCCUAAGGCCAACGGGAGAAGGGUUGUUAAGGAACUCGGCAAAAUGACCCCGUAACUUCGGGAUAAGGGGAGCCUCCUACGGGAGGCCGCAGCGAAUAGGCCCAAGCGACUGUUUACCAAAAACACAGGUCUCUGCUAAAUCGAAAGAUGACGUAUAGGGGCUGACGCCUGCCCGGUGCUGGAAGGUUAAGAGGAGAUGUUAGCCGCAAGGCGAAGCAUUGAAUCGAAGCCCCAGUAAACGGCGGCCGUAACUAUAACGGUCCUAAGGUAGCGAAAUUCCUUGUCAGGUAAGUUCUGACCCGCACGAAUGGCGUAACGAUUUGGGCGCUGUCUCAACAGCCCACCCGGCGAAAUUGUUGUACUGGUGAAGAAGCCAGUUACCCGCAACUAGACGGAAAGACCCCAUGGAGCUUUACUGUAGCUUAAUACUGGAAAUCGGUAAAUCAUGUACAGGAUAGGUGGGAGACUUGGAAGCCAGGGCGUCAGCUUUGGUGGAGUCACCCUUGGGAUACCACCCUUGAUUUGCUGGUUUUCUAACCUGCGGCCGUGAAUCCGGUCGGGGGACACUGUUAGGUGGGCAGUUUGACUGGGGCGGUCGCCUCCUAAAAGGUAACGGAGGCGCUCAAAGGUUCGUUCAGCACGGACGGAAAUCGUGCAGU
rnacentral:rRNA from 1 species